UACGUAGGGCGCAAGCGUUAUCCGGAAUUAUUGGGCGUAAAGAGCUCGUAGGCGGUUUGUCGCGUCUGCCGUGAAAGUCCGGGGCUCAACUCCGGAUCUGCGGUGGGUACGGGCAGACUAGAGUGAUGUAGGGGAGACUGGAAUUCCUGGUGUAGCGGAGAAAUGCGCAGAUAUCAGGAGGAACACCGAUGGCGAAGGCAGGUCUCUGGGCAUUAACUGACGCUGAGGAGCGAAAGCAUGGGGAGCGAACAGG
rnacentral:rRNA from 1 species